UCGCUUGUGCUCCCUGCCAACCUAGCGAACGCCGCCUUCUUCACCUCCACUUUUCCUUUGACUACCUCGUUCCACCACCAAUCACCCUGAUGACUACCUAAAUAUCCCUUAGAAACCCCGAGCACGUCCCAUGCUACCCCCCUAACCAAGUUUGCUGUCGCUGACCACAUAUCGUCCGCUUCCCCAUAACUUCUCCAAGCUCCGCCCUCCACUAACCUCCUUUCCAACUCCUGAGCUUUCUCCUUAGACAAAGCUCCCCAUCUAAA
rnacentral:lncRNA from 1 species